UUUGAGAGAAAAAAGGGGGAUUAUCAUGCUUAAAAUAGCAAACUCAAAGAGCUCCUCACUAGUAUAAAUAAAGAGGCAUUUGUUCUCCAUUUCACUCAUCCCUCACUCACCAUCUCUUAUCUCAUUCUCUCUCGUUUCACUUCCAUUUGAGAGAGUACUUGCAAGGUUUUGAGAGUAGCCACUUUAGGCAAUCUUGAGAGCUUUUAAGCUUGGCAGUCACGACAAGAAGAAAAGAACAAUGGAGGAGCAAAGUGAGCUGUGCCACAGAGAUCCACUAGAAACGACUUAAUAAUUCUCUUUCCCUUCAAUCUUUUUUUUUUCAAUUCAAAAAAUGUGAUUGCAACUAAGUUUUCUGCUUUUAAUAUAAUCAUGAUUGCUUAAUUUUGUUGGUUUUAGAAUGAUUUAAUUUUUGUAGUUUUAAUUAUUUAAUUCU
rnacentral:lncRNA from 1 species